GACGAACGCUGGCGGCGUGCCUAAUACAUGCAAGUCGAGCGGACGGAAGGAAGCUUGCUUCCUAAAGUCAGCGGCGGACGGGUGAGUAACACGUGGGCAACCUGCCCCUAAGAUCGGGAUAACUUCGGGAAACCGGAGCUAAUACCGGAUAUGAUUAUGUCUCCCAUGAGACAUAAUGGAAAGACGGUUUCGGCUGUCACUUAGGGAUGGGCCCGCGGCGCAUUAGCUAGUUGGUGAGGUAACGGCUCACCAAGGCGACGAUGCGUAGCCGACCUGAGAGGGUGAUCGGCCACACUGGGACUGAGACACGGCCCAGACUCCUACGGGAGGCAGCAGUAGGGAAUCUUCCGCAAUGGACGAAAGUCUGACGGAGCAACGCCGCGUGAGUGAAGAAGGUUUUCGGAUCGUAAAACUCUGUUGUUAGGGAAGAACAAGUACCAUAGUAACUGAUGGUACCUUGACGGUACCUAACCAGAAAGCCACGGCUAACUACGUGCCAGCCGCCGCAGUAAUAC
rnacentral:rRNA from 1 species